rnacentral:snRNA from 1 species
GUGCUCGCUUUGACAGCACAUAUACUAAAAUUGGAAUGAUACAGAGAAGAUUAGCGUGGCCCCUGCACAAGGAUGACACACGGAUUUGUGGAGUGUUCCAUAUUUUU